rnacentral:rRNA from 1 species
AGUCGAGGGGCAGCAUAAUGGUAGUAAUACUAUUGAUGGCGACCGGCGGACGGGUGCCUAACGCGUAUGCAACCUACCCUUUACAGGGGGAUAACACUGAGAAAUCGGUACUAAUACCCCAUAAUAUUCCGGGAGGCAUCUUUCGGAGUUGAAAGCUUUGGUGGUAAAGGAUGGGCAUGCGUUGUAUUAGCUAGUUGGUAAGGUAACGGCUUACCAAGGCGACGAUACAUAGGGGGACUGAGAGGUUAACCCCCCACAUUGGUACUGAGACACGGACCAAACUCCUACGGGAGGCAGCAGUGAGGAAUAUUGGUCAAUGGACGGAAGUCUGAACCAGCCAUGCCGCGUGCAGGAAGACGGCUCUAUGAGUUGUAAACUGCUUUUGUACGAGGGUAAACGCAGAUACGUGUAUCUGCCUGAAAGUAUCGUACGAAUAAGGAUCGGCUAACUCCGUGCCAGCAGCCGCGGUAAUACGGAGGAUCCAAGCGUUAUCCGGAUUUAUUGGGUUUAAAGGGUGCGUAGGCGGUUUGAUAAGUUAGAGGUGAAAUACCGGUGCUUAACACCGGAACUGCCUCUAAUACUGUUGAACUAGAGAGUAGUUGCGGUAGGCGGAAUGUAUGGUGUAGCGGUGAAAUGCUUAGAGAUCAUACAGAACACCGAUUGCGAAGGCAGCUUACCAAACUAUAUCUGACGUUGAGGCACGAAAGCGUGGGGAGCAAACAGGAUUAGAUACCCUGGUAGUCCACGCAGUAAACGAUGAUAACUCGCUGUCGGCGAUACACAGUCGGCGGCUAAGCGAAAGCGAUAAGUUAUCCACCUGGGGAGUACGUUCGCAAGAAUGAAACUCAAAGGAAUUGACGGGGGCCCGCAC